AAUCUCCAUUUCUUCAUAUUCGCUACUGAACUUACUGUGAUUAUCAGAUUUUCUUUUAGAAGUUAAUCUUGAUUUUUCGCUUUAGCAUAGUUUGAAUCUGAGGCCAGGAGUUUCUCCUUGGCCAGGGAGGCCAUCUUGUGUUUUGACUGUUCACCUUCUAGGUUUGAUUCUGACUGUCCUUCUCGUUUAAUUUGUUUUAAUCAUGAAAUAGAAAUGCAAUCGAAGCGUUUUUUAAAACUGUG